GGCGAUGCGCGUGCUAUACUGCAGUCGACGCUUCUUUCCUCCCGAGUGCUUGCACUCAAUUGGAAAGAGGAGUGGCGGACGGGUGAGUAACACGUGGGUAACCUACCCAUCAGAGGGGGAUAACACUUGGAAACAGGUGCUAAUACCGCAUAACAGUUUAUGCCGCAUGGCAUAAGAGUGAAAGGCGCUUUCGGGUGUCGCUGAUGGAUGGACCCGCGGUGCAUUAGCUAGUUGGUGAGGUAACGGCUCACCAAGGCCACGAUGCAUAGCCGACCUGAGAGGGUGAUCGGCCACACUGGGACUGAGACACGGCCCAGACUCCUACGGGAGGCAGCAGUAGGGAAUCUUCGGCAAUGGACGAAAGUCUGACCGAGCAACGCCGCGUGAGUGAAGAAGGUUUUCGGAUCGUAAAACUCUGUUGUUAGAGAAGAACAAGGACGUUAGUAACUGAACGUCCCCUGACGGUAUCUAACCAGAAAGCCACGGCUAACUACGUGCCAGCAGCCGCGGUAAUACGUAGGUGGCAAGCGUUGUCCGGAUUUAUUGGGCGUAAAGCGAGCGCAGGCGGUUUCUUAAGUCUGAUGUGAAAGCCCCCGGCUC
rnacentral:rRNA from 1 species